rnacentral:rRNA from 1 species
UAAAAAAAAUGAGUUUGAUCCUGGCUCAGAGUGAAGGCUAUAAGUCUGCUUUAAUACAUGCGAGUUGAAUGGUUAAAACCAUAGCGUACGGGUGAGUAAUAGGCUAAUAUCUGGCUUCAACUUCGGAAUAAUCUUAUCUCGUAGGGAGAGAAGGUAACAAGAGAAUACCGGAUAAUUAAAAAAAGGUCUGCCGGUUGAAGAUGAUUAGGUUCAGUAUUAGGUAGUUGGUGAGGUAAUGCUCACCAAGCCAAUGAUGCUUAGUUGGUCUGAUAGGACGAUCAAUCACACUGGGACUGAGACAAGGCCCAGGUUUCAUUUGAAGGCAGCAGUAAGGAAUAUUGGACAAUGAGCGAAAGCUUGAUCCAGCAAGGCUUGGUGAGGGAUUGAAGGCUUAGGUUGUAAACCUCUUUUUUAGUUGAGGAUAAUGACAGUAGAUUAAGAAUAAGUCCCGACUAACUUCGUGCCAGCAGUCGCGGUAAUACGGAGGGGGCAAGCCUUAUUCGUCAUAACUGGGCGUAAAGGGCCCGUAGGUGGUUUUUUGAUAUGUUAUUUGUCAAAAACUGUAGUUUAAUUAUAGAUAGGCAUUUAAAACAAGAAAACUUGAGUCUGACAGAGGAGGAUGGAAUUUUUCAAUUAGGGUUAGAAUCCAGAUAAGUGAAAAAGAACAUCAUGUGCGAUAGCGAUUUUCUUGUUCAGUACUGACGCUGAGGGGCGAAGGCGUAGGUAGCGAACAGGAUUUGAGACCCUGGUAGUCUAUGCUGUCAACGAUGAGUGCUAGCUUUUAGAAAUCUAGAAGAUAUAGCUAAGGCAUUAAGCACUCCGCCUGAGGAGUACGAGCGCAAGCUUAAAAAUCAACGGAAUUGGCGGGGGUUCAAACAAGUGGUGGAGCAUGUGGUUUAAUGCGAUAAUACGCGCGUAACCUUACCAGUUCUUGUAAGUUUGUCGUUCUUUCGGAGACGUAAAGAAUUUUGGGACUUUCAGGUGUUGCAUGGCUGUCGUCAGCUCGUGUCGUGAGAUGUACGGUUAAUUCCUGUAACUGAGCGUAACCCUUAUUUAUUUUAUGUUUUGAAGUGGU